GACGAACGCUGGCGGCGUGCCUAAUACAUGCCAGUUGAGCGCUGAAGGUUGGUACUUGUACCAACUGGAUGAGCAGCGAACGGGUGAGUAACGCGUGGGGAAUCUGCCUUUGAGCGGGGGACAACAUUUGGAAACGAAUGCUAAUACCGCAUAAAAACUUUAAACACAAGUUUUAAGUUUGAAAGAUGCAAUUGCAUCACUCAAAGAUGAUCCCGCGUUGUAUUAGCUAGUUGGUGAGGUAAAGGCUCACCCAGGCGAGGAUACAUAGCCGACCGGAGAGGGUGGUCGGCCACAUUGGGACGGGGACACGGCCCAAACUCCUACGGGAGGCAGCCGUAGGGAAUCUUCGGCAAUGGACGAAAGUCUGACCGAGCAACGCCGCGUGAGUGAAGAAGGUUUUCGGAUCGUAAAACUCUGUUGGUAGAGAAGAACGUUGGUGAGAGUGGAAAGCUCAUCAAGUGACGGUAACUACCCAGAAAGGGACGGCUAACUACGUG
rnacentral:rRNA from 1 species